rnacentral:rRNA from 1 species
AUUGAACGCUAGCGGGAUGCCUUACACAUGCACGUCGAACGGAGUGGCGAACGGGUGAGUAUGUAUCGGAACGUGCCCAGUCGCGGGGGAUAACUACGCGAAAGCGUAGCUAAUACCGCAUACUAUUUGACCUGCCGAUAUCGGAUUCGCUAGUUGGGGGGGUAACGGCUCACCAAGGCGACGAUCCGUAGCGGGUGUGAGAGGCGGACCAGCCACACUGGGACUGAGACACGGCCCAGACUCCUACGGGAGGCAGCAGUGGGGAAUGUUGGGCAAUGGGGGAAACCCUGAUGCAGCCAGGCCGCGUGUGCGAUGAAGGCCUUCGGGUUGUAAAGCACUUUUGGCAGGAAAGCGGUACCUGCAGAAUAAGCACCGGCUAACUACGUGCCAGCAGCCGCGGUAAUUC